ACUAGAGAGAGAAGCUCUCCUUUCUCUCUAACUUUUUAAUUUUCUCUUUUCUACAACGGUCUUCUUACACACAUAAUAGUCAGAUUUUGGGUGAUUCAGCCCAGAAUGGUCUCGCCGAGACACCCCUCAGCUCCCCCAAAUCCACUGAAUCUAUCAGUUGCCCCCAUAAGCAAUUAUCCUAAAACAAAAUUCAAAUUGAGCAAAUAAGUUACAAAAACCUAGAUCCAUCCUUCAACUUUGCAGCUACUCUUGCGAGUGCUAGCAACAAUGAUUCUAGAAGAAAAGUACGGCUUAAUUACACUCCCUAAAAUCUCGUCUCAGGCAAACUGGCUGUGUCAUUCUCUAAGGAUGAACAUGCACUACUUGCGGCCACCUGUAAGCUUAUGAUUAUAGUGAAUGCAGGAGGUCUCCAGCACUGAUGAUGGAAGCUUUGAACAUCUAUGAGAAGGUCUCUGGCCAACUGGUGAACAAACUCAAAUCUUGUGUCUCCUUGGCUCCUAAACAACAUAUGCAGGAGAUAUCAAGAUUAGAGGAGAACACAGGAAUGACACAAAGAUUUUCCUAUCAAAUAUCUAAGAUAUCCCGUUUAUGUUGGAAGGAUGACUACAACUAUUUUCUUUGAGAUGAUCUCGAAAGUCCUCAACAUGAUUUAUAGAUGGCAUACAAAACUACUUUUCAUUGGGGGGAGGCAUGUGCUAAUUAAACAUAUUUUGUUAGCUGUGCCAAUCCAUAUUGUGGAUGUUAUUCAUUCUCCAGCGGGAGUCCUUAAUCAGAUUGAAUAUAUUGAACAGAUUCUUCUAGGGAGACACUAAUAAUGCUCAUAAAUAUCAUUGGGCCUCGUGGAAAAGUCUUGGUUUUCCUUAUGAAGAAGGAGGAGCUGGCUUUAGAAGAUUACGGGAUACAUACAAUAUUUUUAAUAUAAAGAUAUGGUGGAAUCUAAGGAGCAACAACUCUCUAUAGAGUGAAUUCCCUUUGGCUAAAUACUGCUAGAGGAUCCACCCAGUUAGGAAAAGAUGGUACUUAGGGCAUUCCCACACCUAGAAUGCAAUGUGUAAAAUCAAAAGUGAUAUGAAUAAUUACAUCUUAUGAAAGGUGGGCAUAGGGGUUGUAUCUCUAUGGUUUGAUAAUUGGACAUGAUUAGGGCUCUUUGGAAGUAUUUUUCACAAAAUAGAUAGCCAAAUAAUAUCAAAUUGCAGGAAGCUCUAAUUGAUGAUGUAUCGCAUUGAGGUGGUUGGGACAUGAUCCUUCCUGCAGAUGUAUUGGCCCACAUUAAUAAUGCGUAUUAAUCUUUCCCUUGAUAUAGAA